UCGAAAUUUGGCUGUCCAGACAGAUUUAUAUGAAUGGUACGUCAAUUUCAUCACGGUAUGAUGGCUCGUGUCCUGGAUGACGGUGAAACAUCUGAGGCCUUCCCAGUCACCAACGGCGUCAAGCAAGGGUGUGUUUUAGCACCCACUUUGUUCAGCAUGAUAUUCUCUGCCACGCUGACUGAUGCCUUUCAACACUGCUCUGAAGGAGUAGGCAUGAAGUAUAGAACUGACGGGAAACUAUUCAAUCUGAGGCGACUGCAUGCCAUCACCAAGGUGAAGGAAACUGUACUUCAAGACUUUCUCUUUGCCGAUGAUUGUGCUCUGAAUGCUAGUACAGAGCCAGAAAUGCAAGCCAAUAUGGACAAGUUUUCAACUGCAUGCAAGAACUUCGGUCUCACCAUUAACAUCAAGAAGACUGAGGUAAUGCACCAGCCAGCUCCCCACGCUCCGUACUCAGAACCGUCCAUCACUGUAAAUGGACAGAGACUUCAGACAGUGGACCACUUCAUGUACCUGAGCAGUACCCUUUCCCAAGCAGUGUCAAUCGAUGAUGAAGUAAACUGCAGAAUUGCUAAAGCCAGCUCUGCAUUUGGCCGAUUGCGCUUCAACGUUUGGGAACGUCGAGGGAUCAGCCUACCACCGAAGCUGAAGGUCUACCGAGCAGUGGUGCUUCCAACUCUGCUGUACGCCUGCGAGACGUGGACUGUCUAUCGGAGUCAUGCACGAAGGCUCAAUCACUUCCACAUUUCCUGUCUGCAAAAGCUUCUAAAAAUCAGAUGGCAGGACAAAGUGCCUGAUACUGAUGUCCUUACUAGAGCCAGUCUGCCGUCAGUUCACACAUUGCUGAUGAGAGCCCAGACCAGGUGGACCGGACAUGUCGUGAGAAUGUCAGACGAACGCAUUCCUAAACAGCUCUUCUACGGAGAACUCACUCAGGGAAAGCACUCCCAUGGAGGAAAAAGAAGCGGUUCAAGGACACGCUGAAGACCUCUUUGAAGUCCUUGGAGAUCAACACCGCCACAUGGGAAACCUUCACACUGAACCGUCCAGCAUGGCACAGCCUCAUUCACACAGGCAGUAAUACCUCUGAGGCGAGGCGUAUUGCUGAGGCUGAAAAAAAGCGUGAGCUGCGCAAGUCCAGAGCUGCUUGUACAUCAUCGACAGUGCCAUUACGUGUCUGCCCGAUGUGUGACAGGACGUUCCACGCCCGAAUCGGACUGAUCAGUCAUCUUCGGACGUACAGAGCCCGGUCAUUGAAAGAAUGAGUGGUUGAGGUCUUCAUCGAUAACGAU
rnacentral:lncRNA from 1 species